UUAAAUAAUACUUGAAAAACUCUACUGGAAAUCCAUCAAUUCCUGGACUCAUUAUUUUUCAUGCUUUUUACGACAGUUGCUGUUUCUUUAAGUGUAAU